rnacentral:rRNA from 1 species
UACGAAGGGGGCUAGCGUUGCUCGGAAUCACUGGGCGUAAAGGGUGCGUAGGCGGGUCUUUAAGUCAGAGGUGAAAUCCCGGAGCUCAACUCCAGAACUGCCUUUGAUACUGAGGAUCUUGAGUUCGGGAGAGGUGAGUGGAACUGCGAGUGUAGAGGUGAAAUUCGUAGAUAUUCGCAAGAACACCAGUGGCGAAGGCGGCUCACUGGCCCGAUACUGACGCUGAGGCACGAAAGCGUGGGGAGCAAACGGG